CUCCUCCUCCCGUCCGCAAUUAGCGGCCCCUGAGGUCGGGAUGUCUCUGCCCAGCGUGGGUCACCCCUGCCACGCCACUCGGGCGAGACGAAAGAGGCACAACUGCUCGGGUAACACCAACUCCUGCAAGUGGGAAGGACAUAGCGAGGCGGGGGGGAUAAAAAUCCUUAGGGCAAUUGGAAGUGGGAAUUCCAAACCCCGGAGCGCCCGGCCGGCAGCGGCAGUGCCGGGGGUGGGGCCGUUCCGCCCCGGGGCUCGGGGAGGGGACAGAUCCCUGCCGAGGGAUGGACCCGACCCGACCCGAGCUGUCCUGAGGGGCGGCCCCGGGAGGGGCAGCUCGGUCCGGUCCGGUCCGGUCCGGCGGUGCGGGCGCUGCGGGACGGAGCCGCGCUCUCGGCCGAGUUGUAGAAGGAACAUGAAGCCUGCCAUAGAGGCAGAAGGUCAGUAGAUUGGGAGUUCAGAGAUCACUUUCAAACAACCCAGAAUUAAUUUCUACAUCUGGCUACAGGUAAGAAGAACUUGGGGAUUUUUUUUCCCCAGUUGUAGAAGGAACAUGAAGCCUGCCAGUUUUUCCCCCCAGUUGUAGAAGGAACAUGAAGCCUGCCAUAGAGGCAGAAGGUCAGUAGAUUGGGAGUUCAGAGAUCACUUUCAAACAACCCAGAAUUAAUUUCUACAUCUGGCUACAGGUAAGAAGAACUUGGGGAUGCUGGGCCCUGCUGUUGGUGAACAGAGGAGGGCUGGUGGGAGAUGUGAUGGUUGGAGUCUGUCUUGGGCAUAGUGCUCUUGAAAUGAGAGUUUUCAAUGGACUUCCAGACUUUGGUCUGUUCAGGUCACUGGUUGAGGCAGUCCCUUGGGAAGCAGUCCUGAGAGGCAGGGGGUGCAGGAAGGCUGGAUGUUACCCAAGAACAGCAUCUGAAAGGCACAGGAGCAGGCCAGCCCAAUGUGCCAUAAGACAAGCCAGCAGGGAGGAAAACUGGCCUGGAUGAACAGGGAGCUUUUGGUUCAACUCAAGGGGAAAAAAAAAAUACCAGAAGGGGCAAGUGGCUCAGGAGUAU
rnacentral:lncRNA from 12 species